rnacentral:tRNA from 1 species
GCUGGGAAUACAGCUCAGUGGGUAAAGUGCUUGCCUCGCAUGCACACGGCCCUGGGGUCAAUCCCCAGCACUGCA